rnacentral:lncRNA from 10 species
CACAUGCAUUUAAUACUUUAAUCAUGUAUUCAAUGUAGCAGCAUUUAGAUAUGUAAGAUUUUAGAAGUAAAAUCUCAGUGGUAUAACAUUUAAAACACAGCCUUAAAAUGAAGAAUAGGGAUGAGCAGGAGAAAAUUUAUAAAUUAACCCAGGGUAAAAUUUGGAGGAAAAUUUUUCCAAAUAAAUUUGCUUUGAUUAAAAACACAUAUCUCUCAAGAGGUGUCCCAAUUACUAAAUUAUGUUGAACUGUUGUGGUGUUUAGCCUUGUUCAAAAUGAUUUGAUUAUCAUCUGGAUUCAGAAAUCUUUUCAUUGUACAGAGAUUUCAUUGUCAUUGUCGUUGUUGUUAACUGAUUUUUAAUGAUAUUGAUUUAGAGGCAUUUGUCGGUAGUUUUUAAAUUACUAUAUAGGGUUGAAUGUCUAAUUUCUAUAAUGUGUGGAUGCCCAUCAGAUAUUUAGUGCAUUCUAUAUUUAGCCCAAGUGUGAUCACAAUUUAUUUUAUAACUUUUUAUGUGUUACUUACAUGACUCAAUAUGCAUCUUACUUAAGAAAUUAUGUUGUGAUCUGGAGUGACACAAAUGGAUUGAGAUACCACAUCCAUUAAAAAUAUAAGUGAAUAUUUUAUAUUUAAGUUGUUUAAAUAUUUGCACAUUAUUGAAAACAUAGUACUAGGAAAUGAAGGCACCAUUUAACAAACGUGUUCUGAAUCAUAAUUUUCAUGAGUUUGUACGUGAAAUGUUAAUGUUUAAAACACCCAUUUUGAAAUUAUUAAAUACAGGUAAAAACAUUGC